GACGUAGGGCGCGAGCGUUGUCCGGAUUUAUUGGGCGUAAAGAGCUCGUAGGCGGUUUGUCGCGUCUGCUGUGAAAACUCGGGGCUUAACUCCGGGCCUGCAGUGGGUACGGGCAGACUAGAGUGCGGUAGGGGAGACUGGAAUUCCUGGUGUAGCGGUGAAAUGCGCAGAUAUCAGGAGGAACACCGGUGGCGAAGGCGGGUCUCUGGGCCGUAACUGACGCUGAGGAGCGAAAGCAUGGGGAGCGAACAGG
rnacentral:rRNA from 1 species